rnacentral:rRNA from 1 species
GACGAGGGAUCCUAGCGUUGUUCGGAAUCAUUGGGCGUAAAGAGGGCGUAGGUGGCCAUUUAAGUCAGCUGUGAAAGCCUGGGGCUCAACCCCAGAAGUGCAGUUGAUACUAUUUGGCUUGAGUGUGGAAAAGGUAAUUAGAAUUCCUGGUGUAGUGGUGAAAUACGUAGAUAUCAGGAGGAAUGCCGGUUGCGAAGGCGGAUUACUAGUCCAACACUGACACUGAGGCCCGAAAGCGUGGGGAUCAAACAGG